CAGUUUUCUCUUUUUUAUGAAUGCUCCCAUUAGAAAAUGCAUAAGGAUGUGGGUGAACUACAGCUCCCAGAAUCAUAGCUCAAUCAUCCCCAACCCCCGCCCCGUGUUCAAAGUUGGCCAAGUUGGGCUUGUAUGCCAAGUUUGGUUAACACCAUUUUUUUAACCAUGGUCUCACAUUCAUAGAAACGAUCACCUUCAACAUAUUUUGCCAUGUAAUUCUGGGUGUAAAUACUUUUUGGGAGGGGCACUACAUUUCUUAUUAUUUUGAGACAUAUUAAGAUCAUUUCUGUUUGAAAAUGAAAAUUGGGUGAAUAUUGUUCUAAAUUAAUCUGCUAGUCCAACUAGACUAUUGAAUCCUAGAAUCCCAGGGAAAGUGCAUCAUGUGUCCAACCUCCUAGGAAUUUUACUUUGGUGAGGCAUCAGCACUCUUGGGCAGGGAAGGCUAAAGACCUUCUAAAACAGUUGUUCUCAACCUGGGGUCCCCAGGUGUUUUUGGCCUACAACUCCUAGAAGUCCCAGCCACUUUACCAGCCAGUUUACCAGCUGUUAGGAUUUCUGGGAGUUGAAAGCCAAAAACAUCUGGGGACCCCAGGUUGAGAACCACUGUUCUAAAAUGGCACCUUCAAUGAUUCCAUUACAUUGAACUAGGGCAGUUAAAGUGGUGCCAAACUGCAUGAAUUCUACAGUGUAGAUACUGGGUUGUACAACCAGAGUACUGGGAUUUUGAGGGCUAUGACUCCAAAGUAGGGAUAUAAAUCUCUGCUUAUUUCAUUCCUGCCAUGUGAAUUUACACUGCCAUAUAAUCCAAUUCAAAGCAGAUAACCUGGGUUUUAUAUGGUAGUGUAGAAAGGGCCUAAGUCUUCAUACAUCAUUAACAUAUUUUGAUCAUUGUUUUUUAAUCAGCUAAUUCUUCUUCUUCUGUGUAGUUAUAUAUAUCUAAAAAAAUUAACAGCACACGGUUUGGAAAGCUUUGCCCUAGGAUGUUGCCAUGACAGUUAAAGUAAACUCUAAAAGUGUGCAGUGUAAAGGGGUUCCUAGUAACAUAGAAUAAAGCAAAUCCUACAUGCUUGAAGUCUCACUACUGCUUUAUAGCAUGUAUUGACCACUGCAAAAGACAGAAUGUUGGUGUAUAGAGAAUUUUUUGUUGCUGUUUAAUAAAGUUUUGGUGUGCUUAUGUUUUUGUGAUGUUUUUCUAUAGAUGAUAAAUCUGAUCUAAUUUUUUGAUGGAAAUGCUCUGCUCAUCAUUGUCAGAAGUUCUCGGUUUGAUUCAGUGUGUGGAUAGAAAGUAACUGAUGUAGGCAUAGUUUCCAGAAGUACAAGACCGUGAUCAGUCAUAAUUCAAGGUUAGGGGCACAGGAUCACUGUGAAAAUGGAACAAACUUAUUUAAAAUGAUAUAUUUUUAAUCUGGGAUACUCUUUAGGUCCUUAAGUGCAACUCUUUGGUCAACUUCUGCUGGAAAUUGGAGAACAGUAUUAGAAAAGUAAAUGAAGUCAUGUGGUGAAAGAUAAAUACAGUAUAUGGAUAAUUUUUGAUAAAAUGUGUUUCCUUAUAUUUGUAAAUGAAGAAAACUCUCUGUAUUAUCUGUCUAAACAUCAUCUGAAAUUCUGAAAAGACAUGUUAGCUGAUCCUAGGAUCCAAAGGAUACAUGCAAAUGUAAGUCCCUCACAUUCAGGUGUAGGGGCAAACGCUCCCUAUGAAAGGGAAAAACCAUGAAUUAAAAAUGCUAUUUUUUUAACUUGAGAGAACAUUUCUCUAGGAAUUUCUAGGUCCUCCACCAGAACUUGAUCAUAGAAUCACUCUGGAGAACUCACACAUUCCUAGAGAAAACAUUUUAAUCAAAUCUACAAAUAAUCAAAUCUGAAAAAGUCAAAUCUGCAAAUGGAUGUGUGCAUGACUGUAUUAUGUAAUUUUAAGACCUGUUAUUUGUGUCCUAUAGUAAUAAUACUAAUGACCUUUGAUUCUAUUUUUGUUUUUGUUUUAAAAUGGUGUGGCACUAUACUGAUUAUGAAAUAUCAGGUUGCAUAAUUGCAGCCAUAACUUCUGUUGAGAUAUUAUGACUUUUCUAUCCAGUAUUUCCAGGUGGAAAAGUGGAAAAUAGAUAUAAUAGUUCAAUGGUAUACUUUUUUGUUGCAAGAUUUUGUCAGAAUUCAAUUGUAUCUUGUUUUUCCAUGCACAUGUGCAUGUCUGUCUAGAUUUAUUAUUGAAGUAAAACAUUUGUGAAUUAAGCUCA